UACCAGCACCCCGAGUGGUCGGGACGAUUAUUGGGCCUAAAGCAUCCGUAGCCGGUUCUGCAAGUCCCCCGUUAAAUCCAGCUGCUCAACAGAUGGGCCGCGGAGGAUACUACAGAGCUAGGAGGCAGGAGAGGCAAGCGGUACUCAGUGGGUAGGGGUAAAAUCCGUUGAUCCAUUGAAGACCACCAGUGGCGAAGGCGGCUUGCCAGAAUGCGCUCGACGGUGAGGGAUGAAAGCUGGGGGAGCAA
rnacentral:rRNA from 1 species